ensembl:snoRNA
ACUCACCCCUAGAAGGCUGCAGGAGUGGCUGCUGUGUCGCAUGUGCGUCAGUAGGUGGCAGAGAGGUGAGAGGCUGUGUCUGUGCUCAGUGUUCUGACCUCUGAAGGUCUAAAUGAUUAGUAGCCUAACAUU